UUAUGGCCAUAUCAUGUUGAAACACCAGUUCCUGUACAAUCACCAAAGUGAAGCAACAUUGAGCCUGGUCAGUAGAUGGGUGACCACUUGGAAAUACCAAGUGCUGUAAG